AUGCCCACCGUCACCCCCGCCUUGCAGCGCCACAUUGACCCCUUGUGCCGCCCCAGAGAGAGCCAUUCGCUGACCAUGUCCUUCCCGGCGACGGAGCAAGCCAUCUUCUUCCUGCGCAACCAUGCCGUCACCAUGAGAGCGGCCGACAGCGUCAACGCCACGUCCCUCAUGGCAGUCGGCCGCGCGCUGGAGGCGCAACUCGCCAUCCCAGUGAGCCAGCUUCGCGUCACGGCUCACCACCCGGAGCACUACCUCGUCAUCUUCAGCCAGCCAGCGCACCACGUCAACGUCGUCCGUCGAGGCUCCAUCAGGGUCGACGGCGCCGUCUUCAACAUCGCUCCAUGGCACAAGCACGAGCACACCUCCUUCGACAUGCUCCAGCUCCAUGUCCGGGUCAUCAUUGAGAAGGUGCCUAUGCAGUACUGGUCCCUGGAGGGGAUCGAGGAGAUCCUUGGGAAGAAGGUGCGCGUUGACCUCCUCGACAGCUAG
rnacentral:rRNA from 1 species